rnacentral:rRNA from 1 species
GUAGGGAAUUUUCGUCAAUGGGCGCAAGCCUGAACGAGCAAUGCCGCGUGAGUGAGGAAGGCCUUCGGGUCGUAAAGCUCUGUUGCGAGGGAAAAAGGAACGGAAGAGGAAAUGAUUCCGUUUUGAUGGUACCUCGCCAGAAAGUCACGGCUAACUACGUGCCAGCAGCCGCGGUAAUACGUAGGUGGCAAGCGUUAUCCGGAAUGAUUGGGCGUAAAGGGUGCGCAGGCGGCAUAUCAAGUCUGAAGUGAAAGGUACGGGCUCAACCUGUACAGGCUUUGGAAACUGGUAUGCUCGAGGACAGGAGAGGGCGGUGGAACUCCACGUGUAGCGGUAAAAUGCGUAGAGAUGUGGAAGAACACCAGUGGCGAAGGCGGCCGCCUGGCCUGUAACUGACGCUCAGGCACGAAAGCGUGGGGAGCAAAUAGGAUUAGAAACCCCAGUAGUCC